AGAUAUCCUCAUCUAGUGUAGAACAAACAACAAGACAGCAGACACAUACCACUCAAUAUACUUCUACCACUGAAAAAGAAUCUACAUUGACAAGUGAAAUUGGAUCAACAGCGGCAACUAAAUUAUCCACAACAGAUUCUACUUCAUCUUUACCAUCGUCUACAACAAUCGGGCAGACAAGAACAGAGUUAAUUUUGUCUACAACACUAAUAUCUCCAUCCACUGCAAAGCAAACAACAAGUCAGCAGACACAAACCACUAGUUUAAUUUCAAGUACAGAAACACAUUCAACACAGUCAAUUCAUUCGACAUUUCCACCACUGGAAACCACUGGAUCAAUUUCUCCAAACUCACCUGCCUCACUCACUACAACUUCCCUCAAUCCUAACUCACAUCAAACAAUAACUCAAACUGUUACAGCCCAAACAUUUAGCAAUUCAACCUCAGCCCAGUCAAGCCCUUCUGCUCAAACUAGUACCCAGAAAACUUCAUCAACAUCAACAGCACCUCCUUUAUCCAUAACAACUGUCAACUCAGUUUCAACAACUCAAAACUGUCUGGAGUAUUGUCAGUGUAACGGGUCCCCAUGCAUCUUCAAUGUAGCAUCUGGGAAAUGUCAGUGUAAAUGCAAUAAUUUCACUUUUGGAGAUACUUGCAAUUUUGCAAAUGACUCAUCCACGGUCACUUGGUCUGAAAGCAUACCCACAAGGAACGCAAAUAUCUCUCUCAGAAUUAUGAUGGACUAUCUUACAGAGUAUGAAAAUGUGAACUCUCCAAAAUCAAAAAAACUCAUUUCCAUCUUAAAACGUGAGCUUUCAAUCCUUUGUAGAAGAGCAGAUGCACAAAAUUUCAAGGAUGUGCAAAUACGUAAGCUAACGCCAGGAAGUGUCAUUGCUGAAAGUAUUGCAGUGUAUAACUAUCCCAACAACAACUCACAAAUAAUGUUUCUAAAUAACGAUUUGGGACCCACCCUGGAAAAAAUCUUUAAUGACUCAGAUUCAUUUAAAAAUCUCAGCAUGGCUCUUGGCAAUGCUUCCAUCCAAUAUGCCCAAAUUACCAUGGGUACAGUUGAAAUAUCAAAUAUUUCAGAUCUACAUCCAUUUGUGCAAUGCACCGUGAAUUUUACAAGCUUAACAGUAGAGAUUGAAGAUGGGGCAUGGGUAUGUGUGGGAUCAUGCAAAAAAAAUCCCAACUUCUGCAAUCAACAAGGUGAAUGCAAAAAUGAAAUAAAUGGACCACAGUGCAAGUAAGUCCUUAAAAGCAAAUUCUAAUUCUACAUGCACAGUUUUCAUUUGUGGCUGCCCUCAGAUAAAAAAUAAAAAAAAUCCUUAAAUUCA
ensembl:lncRNA